GAUGAACGCUGGCGGCGUGCCUAAUACAUGCAAGUCGAGCGAACAGACGAGGAGCUUGCUCCUCUGACGUUAGCGGCGGACGGGUGAGUAACACGUGGAUAACCUACCUAUUAGACUGGGAUAACUUCGGGAAACCGGAGCUAAUACCGGAUAAUAUAUUGAACCGCAUGGUUCAAUAGUGAAAGACGGUUUUGCUGUCACUUAUAGAUUGAUCCGCGCCGCAUUAGCUAGUUGGUAAGGUAACGGCUUACCAAGGCAACGAUGCGUAGCCGACCUGAGAAGGUGAUAGGCCACACUGGAACUGAGACGCGGUUCUGACUCCUACGCGAGGCAGCAAUAGGGAAUCUUCCGCAAUAGGCGGAAGCUUGCCGGAGCAACGCCGCGUGAGUGAUGAAGGUCUUCGGAUCGUAAAACUCUGUGAUUAGGGAAGAACAAAUGUGUAAGUAAAUAUGCACGUCUCGACGGUCCCUAAUCAGAAAGCCACGGCUACCUCCGUG
rnacentral:rRNA from 1 species